CUAGUGCACCCCGGCCGCAAGCAGACACCGCCACCCUCAUCCAGGAAACCGCUCCCAGGAGCUGGCGCUGGUUUGCCUGCCUUGAGCUCCCCGCCGGCGCCUUCUGGCCGGACCCGCGUGCCCAGGAGCGCCCAGGAGCGCCCAGGAGCGCCCAGGAAGCGAGCCGCAGCAGGGGCCCCAACAGCUGUCACGAAUGCACACGCAAGGGCCUCAUCCGAGCACACAGGGAAGCCGGGCGGCCGCCGCAAUGGAGCCGGCGGGGGGUGCGCUCACAGGUGCUUCAGGCCGGUGGCGCGGCCGCCCCCGGGGCUCGGCACUGUCACCGGCGCGCAGAGGCCGGGGCUCCGGCCGGGCCUGGGUAACCCCCAGCCUCAGCUACACCGGGAAAGGGCGCGAAGGGGGAAGGAGGGAGGAGGAGGGGGUGGGGUGGGGGUGGGGGCGGCGGCGGCGGCGGGGGCGGCGGAGGGAGUGACCCGCGUCCCCGUCUCCUCUCGCAUUUCCCCUCCCGGAGCAGGUGGGCACCUCCGCCGAGCUCGUGCGCGCCUCCCUCCCCGCUCGUCUCUGCUCGGGGCGAGCAUCUCCCCUGCUCCCCUCGCUCCCCCCUCCCCCCGUCCCUCCCUCCCUCCCGGCCGCGUGCCUCCUCCCUCCCCUCCCCUCCCCUCCCCUCCCCCCUCCCUCCCGCGGAGCCGGAGAUGGGCAGAGAGCGCGCGCGGCGCAGCAGCUCCGGAUCCACCGCCGUCCCCGCCCGCGGCUCCCCGCGUCCCCGCCGCCGCCGCUGCCGCCGCCUCGGCGUCCCCGGGCCCCAGUCCCGCGCCUAGGACAGCGCCGCCACCGCCGCCCGGCCCGGCCCGGCCCUGCCCGCCGCCUGCGCUGCGCAGCCCUGGCGCGCGCCCGGAUGGCGCUUCCCUCCCGGGACCGCAAGGAUCAUUUUAAAAGCAUCAAAUAAGAUUUGGUUGGUAAAAACAAAGCAAGAAUGGCAUUUGAUGCUGAGGCAGAAAAUCAUCAUAGUAUCAUAACAGACUGGAACCAGUUGAGAUAGAUAUAAAUGCCCUUUCUCUAUUUUUCUUAAUUUAUUAAAUAUGUUGAUCUUUAUGUCAAGAUUCAUAAAUAACACAUAUAUAUGUUACAUGCAAUAAUUGUGUUUGUGGUUUUGCUCAUUUAACAAUUCUAAGAUAUAUACGAUUUCAACACAGAAACUUGAUCCACCCUACAAAACAUUUCAUUAAUAUUUUUCAAAUUGAUAUCAAAUAGUAUUUAAAGUAGAUCUCUAGGCGGAAUUAUCUUUUAAACAUUGUCCAGGAAAACCAUGUGCAAGUGAAGACUUUUUCGAGUACACACUUUUAAAUUAGGGCUGGAUUUGACUCCAGCUAUACCUUCCAGCUUCUUAUAUGAAUGAUUUGUUUGAACUAUCGAAACCCCAUAAAAUGAGGCUAAUAAAACCCACUUUAAAAUAUUGGUUAAAUGUCAAUCGAAAACACCUAAAAACCUUCAACAGCUAUUACAAAAUAUAGGCAAUCUAUUCAUCUGCAUUUUAUGUCUUUGAAAGAGAAAAGAUUUAAAAACAAGACAGAAAUGCCAGAUCUGUACUCAAUAUUUUGAUUAUUUUUAAUAUAUUUUUAAUGUAUUUGAAUCCAAUAUUAGAGUGUAAAUAGGGAGAGAGGAAUACCACAUUGGGGGGAAUUAUUUUUUUAUUAAACAUAAGCCAAAGAUAUAUGUGUGUGUGUGUGUAUAUAUAUAUAUAUAUAUAUAUCCA
rnacentral:lncRNA from 1 species